CCGCAGCCAGUUAAGCCGACCGGCCCGCCUGCCGUGGGGGCCCGGUGUGCAAUGGCUGCGCACAGCACCCCCCCUGGUUGUGUACGUGCUCCGUGCCCUGUACGGAGCACCCUAAGGGACCGCGGGGACACGG
rnacentral:snoRNA from 1 species